rnacentral:lncRNA from 1 species
CCUGCUUGCCCUUGGGCAGGUCAUUUGCCUUGAACAGAUUUCUGAAUAAGAAAAUCCCUUUCCCUUUUAUCACGUUUGAGAAGAUCGUGACAGACACGCGUCUGUUUACACGGCCAGGCAGGCCCGUUUUGCUCAUCCCUUGGCAAACUGCCACCCAGUGAUGAAUUUCAGAGGCGUAAGAAUGUGGCUGAAAGCAAGAAUGUGGGCACAGGCUCCCGCUGAGGUCACCACAUGCGAGAUGUUAAUGAAGAUACCUCUUUAAAAAAUUGCCGUAGGAGAUCCCUGGUGGCUCAGUGGGUUAAAGAUCCAGUGUUGUCACCGCUGUGGCGCAGUUUCAAUCCCUGACCGUGGAACUUGUAUGUGACGCAGGUACAGCAAAAAAAAAAAAAAAAAAAAAAUUACUGGCAUUCCCAUCCUGGCUCAGUGGUAAUGAACCUGACUAGUAUCCAUGAGGAAUCGGGUUCGAUCC